AUGACCAUUCAUCAUUCACUGCACCCUCGCAGUGAUGUUGACCGGCUAUAUCUGCCUAGAAAAUCAGGUGGCAGAGGACUCUUACAAGUAAAACAAGCAGUCAAAGAAGAAGAACAUGCCCUGGCAGAAUAUGUAAAGCAAAGUGAAGAACCUGCUUUGAUUGAAGUCAAAAAUCAGAAACUCCUCAAAACACAGCAGACAAAGAGUCAGUACAAGAAAACUGCACUACAAACUAGAGCUGACAGCUGGCACAACAAAACAUUGCAUGGAAAGUUCCUUGACAAAAUUGAAGGAAAAGCUGAUAAGGAGAAGACCUGGCUAUGGCUCAUGAAUGGGACCCUGAAGAAGGAGACAGAAGGCCUGAUGCUUGCAGCCCAGGAGCAAGCCAUCAGAACAAAUGCAAUCAAGGCCAAGAUCGAAAAAUCAGCUGAUGACCCAAAAUGCAGACUGUGCAAGGAAGCCGACGAAACCAUUGAUCAUAUCCUCAGCUGCUGUAAGAAAAUCACACAGACAGACUACAAACAGAGGCACAACUCUGUGGCCCAAAUGAUUGAUUGGAACUUAUGCCUCAAGUACCACCUCCCAGCAGCAAAGAACUGGUGGGAUCACAAACCUGCAAAAGUAUUGGAAAAUGAGCACGGAAAGAUACUGUGGGGCUUCCAAAUCCAGACUGACAAAGUUCUGGAACACAACACACCAGACAUCACAGUUGUGGAAAAGAAAAAGGUUUGGAUCAUUGAUGUUGCCAUCUCAGGUGACAGUCGCAUUGAUGAAAAACAACAGGAAAAACUCAGCCGCUAUCAAGACCUCAAGAUGGAACUUCAAAGACUCUGGCAGAAACCAGUGCAGGUGGUCCCGGUGGUGAUGGGCACAUUGGGUGCCAUGCCAAAAGAUCUCAGCCGGCAUUUGGAAACAAUAGACAAAAUUACGAUCUGCCAACUGCAAAAGGCCACCCGAGUGGGAUCUGCGCGCAUCAUCCGAAAAUACAUCAGUCCUAGACACUUGGGAAGUGUUCGACUUGUGAUUUUGUGA
rnacentral:lncRNA from 1 species